rnacentral:sRNA from 1 species
UUUGUGCCUUCAGCAAGCCGGGCUGUGUCUCAACCUCACAGCACUCCUCCCACGGGCCUGGGAAGGCAAAUGUGUUUUCUGAACUGUGUUGAGACCGUGUGUGUGUGUGUGUGUGUGUGUGUGUGUGUGUGUGUGUGUGUGUGUGUUGGGGUGUCUUGUGAAGUCCUGCUAACCUCUUGUCAGCAGAAUAUUCGAGAAAUGCUUCUGAGAAGAGAGAGGAAGAUGACUUCAGAGGCUGCUUGUGGUCUCUCACUCAAGUGAGGAAAGUGGGAACCGCCAUACCGUGUCUGGAUUCGGUGGGAUCGUGUGUGUCCAGCAGCAGUCGCGCAGCGCCUGGCGUGAGUAGUGGGUGCACGCCGGCCCCGCCAUGUGCACCUUCUGUGACGACCCUAAGUCAGGGUGGUGUUUCUUAGCAGUGCAGAACACGAAGCCCUUAUAACUUCUCCUAGAAACGAAGCCUGUGUUGACCUCUCCACCUCAGGGGGGAAUCGGUGAAGUACUUCCUGGACAACUUGGACCGGAUCGGCCAGCUGAAUUACUUUCCUAGUAAGCAAGAUAUCCUGCUGGCUAGGAAAGCCACCAAGGGAAUUGUGGAGCAUGACUUCGUUAUUAAGAAGAUCCCCUUUAAGAUGGUGGAUGUGGGCGGCCAGCGGUCCCAGCGCCAGAAGUGGUUCCAGUGCUUCGACGGGAUCACGUCCAUCCUGUUCAUGGUCUCCUCCAGCGAGUACGACCAGGUCCUCAUGGAGGACAGGCGCACCAACCGGCUGGUGGAGUCCAUGAACAUCUUCGAGACCAUCGUCAACAACAAGCUCUUCUUCAACGUCUCCAUCAUUCUCUUCCUCAACAAGAUGGACCUCCUGGUGGAGAAGGUGAAGACCGUGAGCAUCAAGAAGCACUUCCCGGACUUCAGGGGCGACCCGCACAGGCUGGAGGACGUCCAGCGCUACCUGGUCCAGUGCUUCGACAGGAAGAGACGGAACCGCAGCAAGCCACUCUUCCACCACUUCACCACCGCCAUCGACACCGAGAACGUCCGCUUCGUGUUCCAUGCUGUGAAGGACACCAUCCUGCAGGAGAACCUGAAGGACAUCAUGCUGCAGUGAGCAAGGAAGCCCCGGGGUUUGUCGUCGUUGAGCAGCCUCCACGGCUGUGGGUCAGACUCUUGGGUGUGUGUUGUCUGUGUGGUCCUUGAGUGGGUUUCUCGGAUCCGUGCCCUGGAAUACCUGGCUCAGGAAUGCUGUCAGACCAGCCAGCCAGCGAGCUCUAGGCAAAAGGACAUGGAAACUGUCACGUUAGCUACUGAAUCCUGGGGGCGAGUGAAACUACUGAAAAUCCGAGUGAUGAUGUUGUGAAUACGGAACACCUAAUCACACAGCUUGCUUUGCUUUUACAGAAACGUUCCUCUUUUUCUGACGCAGUUUAAUUGAGGACCGUGUUGUGUGUGUAUGUGUGUACACACACGCUCUGUCUUUAAUGGCAGAAACACAAAAACCAGCUGGCCUUGCAGACGGCUUUUCUAACUCAACAGUCUUCCCUGAGACAGACUAACCUGAAAGCUUUGCCUAACGGUAGCUUGUAGAGAUCCAGUGCACGCCGAUGCUGCUAAACUCAGAGUGCCUGAGCCCGGCCCCGCAGCCCCAGCCGCAGUGUCUGAAGGCCACCUCCCAAAGGGAGCACGUUGCCUUUUCAAACUCCCGUGCCGAUUUCCUAAGAGCCCCUAGUCCAAGCCUCUCAGAUGAAGCUGAGGAGCCGUGCCUAGGAUCCCUUCCCAGCUCUGAGGACGGGCUGCGGAGCUCUGCAGGUGUGGAUUCACCUUACGCCUCUACAGCAGGCUCAGCCCUUCCCACCCUGCCCGAUGCCCAGCAGCACAACACGGAGUGAGACAGGAUGCCCACGGUGACUGCCACUCCGUCCGUGCACACACAGCGGUGCUCUUCUCCCCUUAGCCACCCACUGCCCAACCCAACGGCAAAGACACAGAAACCAGGUCCCCUUGCAGAUGGCUCUCCCAUCUUCCUGCAAGUCAUCUGCUCACACACAGCUGGCAGCACAUAGUGUUUCCUUCUUUCAGAAACAUUCCUCUUCUGGGGCUUCAGAAAGCUGGCAAGGCCACUAGCAGAGCUUUUGUUAAUGCCCCAGCUGCUUGGCGAGCUAACAGCUGACCUUUCGGGAAGCCCACAGACGCUGGAGGAAUCUUGAGUUUCUCCAAACUGCCGCUCCACCAGUGCCUUUGGACAGCCGUGCCUGUUCGCCGCUCUCCCUAAGUCUGAUUCUCAUCGAGGCCCCUCGCUUCUAUGACUGUGCUUGCAGAAGAGUAAACACUCUCGGAUGCCGCUGUCCUGGGGGAGCCCGCGGGAGCCUGUGAAUGUUGAUACGAGCUGGCCAGGCCUGGGCCCAGCUCACUUGUCCAGCUACCUGCCAGGUGGCUUUCACUGUGUUUAAAAUACAUUGCAUUCCAAGCUGG